rnacentral:lncRNA from 1 species
AAGUGCUGAUGCUGCUGCUUUGAGGGCCACACACCUUGAGGAGUAGGAAGAGUACUCAUACUGGAAGAGUAUUCAGCACGGACUGGAAUCCUGCAUACAUAUCUGAGCUCUGUGUUCUGUAGAGAUGGGGUUUCACCAUGUUGCCCAGGCUGGUCUCAAACUCCUGAGCUCAGGCCAUCUGCCCGCCUCGGCCUCCCAAAGUGCUAGGAUUACAGAAGGUGCCUGCUUCCCCUUCACCUUCCACCAUGAUUGUAAGUUUCCUGAGGCCUCCCCAGACAUGUGGAACUGUGAGUCAAUUAAAUCUCUUUUCUUUAUAAAUUACCCAGUCUCAGGUAGUAUCUUUAUAGCGGUAUAAAAACAGACUAAUACAAACAGGUAGCUCUAAAUUGUGAGUUUUUCUUAACUCCUUUGAUCUUCUGUGAUAGCGAUUUUUCACAUUUCACACUUCCCUAAUGCCAAAAAUCCACCUCCAGCAGCUGUUUUGCCUCUUUCUUAUCCUGCCCCUUGGAAGAAUGUCAUCAUUA